rnacentral:rRNA from 1 species
AACGAACGCUGGCGGCAGGCUUAACACAUGCAAGUCGAACGCCCCGCAAGGGGAGUGGCAGACGGGUGAGUAACGCGUGGGAACAUACCCUUUUCUACGGAAUAGCUCUGGGAAACUGGAAUUAAUACCGUAUACGCCCUACGGGGGAAAGAUUUAUCGGGGAAGGAUUGGCCCGCGUUGGAUUAGCUAGUUGGUGGGGUAAAGGCCUACCAAGGCGACGAUCCAUAGCUGGUCUGAGAGGAUGAUCAGCCACAUUGGGACUGAGACAGGGCCCAAACUCCUACGGGAGGCAGCAGUGGGGAAUAUUGGACAAUGGGCGCAAGCCUGAUCCAGCCAUGCCGCGUGAGUGAUGAAGGCCUUAGGGUUGUAAAGCUCUUUCACCGAUGAAGAUAAUGACGGUAGUCGGAGAAGAAGCCCCGGCUAACUUCGUG